AAUAAAUAGUUCACUUUCAGUCCACUGGCACACUGCAUACCCCUCAAGUUCAAAUCCACCCAGCACCUUUCUGAGCCCACCCACAAAUGGUUCCCAAUUUCAAGUCUGAGUCCACAACCUACGGUGGACAUCUGUGGCUUUGCAGCUGACCAUGGUCCAAACUCCUCCCCCAGCUUUGGGCAACCUUCCUUUGCAUAGUCCAGCCAGCCUCUCAUUGCGGAAACUGGGAGUCCCGACAUCGCUCUCCUGGCUGGAGAGCAAACCCACAACACGGCCUUGGCAGACUGGACGCUUGCCCACGGGCUCUGAUGCUGGAACCAAAGCCCGUUUCGGUAGAUCACAACUCGGAAGUCCUUUUAUCAAGCCAUUGUCAAACUGGGAGUCUGACGAUCUGUGUGAUUUCAAGAAUCAGUGACACCCCGUGCCCUCCCUUUGACCGCAUGAAACUCCAAUACGAAUGGAAUCAUAAAAAAAACAGAACAAGAGGGAACCGGCAUUGCUGCUGGCCAGCUACUCGACGUAUUUUACCUCUCUCUCAUCUAUGACAGAUGCAUUAGCUCUGCUUUGCAGGUAAGGGGAGUAUGAUUAAUCAGGUGGACAGGCAAGCCCCAUACACGUGGACCCACACUGAGCACCACAGGCCAGAACAGAAUUGAGAGCAGAGUCACCAGACACAUGAAGCACUCAGGAGACAGAAAUCUCUGAGACACAGCAGCUGGGGAGGGUGGAAGAUAGAAGUUGAGGUGAGAAGAGACUUUGGCAAAAGUCAGUGAAGGCAAAGAAUGAGGAAAGUCCCCUGUGAAGGGUGGGGAUCCCCAUGAAAGAUGGACAGGUGUGAAUGUGACAUGUGAGAACCCAAAAGGACCUGUCUAAACUGUAAGCUGUGGAUUAGGGAAUAGCGGAAAAUAAUAGAGGAGAGGUCAUAUUUUAAAGAGCCUUCAAUAUUGAUGGGGGAAAUCUAGACUAAAUGGGGUAGAAAAUAGUCAUUGAAAGCUAUUUACCAAGAUCUGACAUGAAGAAAAGAUUUUUAAUGCUUUUCUAUUCACAACCAAAAUUAAAAUUACCUACAAGCUUAAAUCAUUAAUAUAGAUCCUCAUCAAUAGCAUGUGUAAAUUUAUGACAACCUAUUUUAGUUUAUUUUAUAAGGAAUGGCAUCGAUUAGCGGUUACUUGUAACUAAUAAAUCCUCUGAUAUCAUCCCUAUAUCAACAGCAACUUCAGGCUUUUCUAUAUUCCCACAGUAAAAGUUGCAUAUGUCCAAUACUUCAAUAAAUAUUUCUUGAAUGUCUAUUUCUUGCCCAGAACCCUUCUAGAUUCUGGUGAUAGAGUCCAACAGACAUGAUUGCUACUCCUAGGAAGCUUACUGUCUUCUGGGAGAGAAGCUCAAAACCCACCCCUACAUGCUAAGCGAUUCUGCACUGGGACGUGAAGCCAGGAGGGAGAUGCAGCCUGCUGUGGUGGAGGUAACUGGGUGCCAGGGGCUUAUCCAGGUAAGGGGACUGGCAACCUUGCAGAGAAGACUCUCACUGAGACCUGAAGGGUGAGAGGGAGCCAGCCAUGCAAAGCACAGGAGGAGGAAAGGGAGAGAGAGAGGGUGCUUUUCAAGACUUGCUCCUAGCCUAUGGAAAACAAAGAAUGGAAGUUUAUUUUCUCCACCUUUCAAAACCCAGCUCUGACAUCCAAUCCUCCAACCCCCACCCCCAUACCUGGGGACAGAUUUAGUUAUCAUCCAUCCCCCUACCAGGAGGUUGUUGACCAAGGUGCUUUCCAUGAGUGUAAAUUUGUUCAUGUAUCUGUCUUUUUAUGAGACUGUGAUCUCCAUGAGAGCAAUACCUUCUCUUCUCUAAAUCAGCAUCUGGUGCCAUAAAUGUAUGAUGAAGUGAGUUGGAUCCAAAGUGCUACUAAAGAUGUUCAUUGUGACACAUCAGCUUCCCAUAUCCCAAAUGCAUAAGCACUGCCCCCUCUGUUGUGAAAAAUAAACUUUAAACCUCUCUCUCUUUUAGUCUUUCUAAACUUUCUGACUGAGGUUCUUACAAAGGGUAAUAAUAAUAUAGACAGUCUCUGACUUAUGAUUCCACUUAAGAUUAUUUGACUUUACAACGGUGCAAAAGUGAUAACAGUUGCUAGAAAUGGUAUUUCAAAUAUUUAUACAACCCUUCUGUUUUUCACUUUCAUUAUGGUUUUCAAUAAUUACAUGAGAUAUUUAACACUUUAUUAUAAAACAAGCUCUGUGUUCCAUGGUUUUGCCCAACUGCAGGUUACUAUGUGUUCUUAGCAUGUUUAAAGUAGGCGAGGCUAAGCUAUGAUGUCUGGUAAGUUAGGUGUAUUAAAAUGCAUUUUUGACUUACAAUAUUUCCCACUCACAAUAGGUUUAUCAGGACAUAGCCCCAUCCUAAGUGAAGGAGCACCUGUAGUGUGCAGCCCUGUUUGGAGAGUGCUUGGAGAGUCUGUAGAGGUGAGUGAGAAGAGGCAGAGGAGCCUAAGCCAAAAACAGUCAUUUGGAGUUUUGCAAAAUCAACCAUUUAUAUGAAAACGUGCACAAGGGUUUGGAGCUUAUUUAUUUGGGUUUUUGUUCAUUUGGUUUUUAAUGGCCAUGAAAAAGAAGAUACAAUCAAGGGUAGAAUAUCUCCUAAGCAUGCAAACGAUCCCUCUGGGAGGGAUCAACACAUGAUGGGGCUUUCAGGGUGGAGCUUUCCUUCUCCCUCUUUUGGGGUCUAAGAAUGGAAUAUUUAAGGGCUUCUCAAGCUCCUUUAGCUGAUGUUACUUUGAAUGAGCAAAGCAAAUCUUUCCAAAGAUGAGCAGAAGGUAGCCAUCCCCAUGACAGCUGCUCAUGAGGAGGAGAAAGAGGAGCCAGUCACAGCUGGGGGAAACUGCCUCACCUGGAGACCUGUCACAAGAAGAGAAUUAAAAUGUUGUCUCCAAGAUGAGGUCUUGAUUGAAAUGGACCAUUGACAAGCAACCACAAUACAGUUACCAAAUAGAACCACUGUGAGGAUUUCUUUUAAAUCUUGCCUGUGUGCCCCUGUGGUGUGUGUGAUGGUGAACAUUCGGAGUCACGUGACUGGGUUGAGGGGUGCUGUGCGGCUGGUGAGGCAUUGCGUCUGGGCGUGUCUGUGAGGGUGUUUCCAGGGAGACUGACCUGUGAGGCAUUGCACGGGAGAGGAAGACCCGCCCUCCAUGUAGGUGGGCACCAUCCGGUGAGCUGGGGCCAAACUGGAACAAACAGGUAGAAGUAGAAAGAUUCACUCUCUUUGCUUACUCUCUCUUUUCUGGAGCAAGGUGCUUUUUCUCCUCCUGACUUUGGACAUCAGACUCCAGGUUCUUUGGCUUUCAGACUCUGGGACUUGCACCAGCAGCCCCCUGGGGCUCCCAGGCUUGGCUGGGGCUGCACUGUCAGCUCCCUGGUUCUGAGGCUUUGGACUUGGUCACAGCCACACUGCUGGCUUCUCUGGUCUUCUAGCUUGUGGUUGACUUAUUGUGGGACUUGACCUCUGUGAUCAGUGAACUAAUCCCUCCCAACAUAUCCCCUUCUAUAUUUCCUACUGUUUCUGUCUCUCUAAAGAAUGCUGACUAACACAGUCUGAUUUCACCUGAAGGCCACUUUCCUAGCACAAAGCAGUUCUGAUAUAUCAUGAAGCUCAAUAGGAAUGGGUAGGAUGAAUGAAUGAAUGAAUGAAUGAAUGAAUGAAUGAACGAACGAACGCACGAACGAACAAAUGCCCAAGGCAAAUACUGAGACCCUGGUGGGACCAUAGCUUUCACAAAAAUUACUUAAGAACACAACUGUAUCUUGACUGCAGCAUUUGAAAACUCAGCAGGUAAAGAACUAACUAAGGAAUCUUCCCAAUUAAGUGAUGCCUCCAUGAGCAGUUCCAGCUCCUGCCCUGAGACCCCACGCUGGGCUGUGGCUGACACCUCCUCAUGGGUCCUCAGUCCAGGCACCUGCUGUCUGCUAAUCUCAAGGGCGCCUCAUGCUCCAUUUGCUUUUGUAGCUUUUCAUCAUCUGUGUAACAAGUUCCCUACAUGAAAUGUUCUUUGUUUCCUGAAAUAGCACAACCUAGCAUAGUCAACUAUCAAUUUUCCUAGGGCACUCAUCUGCCUUACAGUGUAUCUGCUGAAUAUCUUGUUUCAACUUCUUAGGAAUCUAAUUAAGCAAAAUAGAAAAAGAAAGGCCUUUGUUGAGACCACCUACAAGCUUGUGUUUGUGUUUCCUGCCCCGUGUAUUCUUUACUCCAACCAGUGAUCUUUCAAACUAAAACACUCAAUUGCCUAAUUAUCUCCUCAAAACCUGGUGAUGUAUGGACUAGAAAUUUAGUAGAAAGAGAAAAGAGGAGAGGGUAGUGGAACUCUACAGAGCCCACGGCUUCACCUCCAUCUGGAAGCUGAUACUAUUUCCUGGAUCUCAGAAGCCAGAGAAAGUUUAACCUUUUGGAAAUGAAGAAUAAACUGGACAACUUUUACCUUCUUUGGAGUCAGAUAUUCAUAAUGUAGCUUCCUUAUUACUUUAAGAUGAUGUAUGCCAUCCUUGGCAUCAACUCUACUCACAGGAGAAUAAAGAACGGCAUUCCAAAAGUCGCUUAAGUCCUCUGGGGUCUUGGUUAUUUUGAUUAGCUAGGUAGUGGCCUCAUAAUAUCCACACCUAUAAUUCAUUCAUUUAGUAACCCUCUAUAUUUCCUUUUAGUAAGAAACUGUGAAAGCACUGAGUUAAUAAAUCCUAAUUAGUUCUUUAACUGCAGAUUAAAAAAUAUUUAGAUGUUCUAACAUGAGGAACAAAGAUGUUCCUACAACCCUAGGCAGACAGCAGCCCUUCCUCAGGGAAGCCAGCCCUCUUAGAUCUUCCACUUCAUGAGGAGUGGCCAUCAAUAGCCAGGGGAAGGGGACACCUUGCCCCAUCUGCACUCAUGGGGAGAUAAACCCUUACAACACAGGCCAUGGCAGAUGUCUGAUGAGACCAGGCUCAGGCUGCUACUCAGAUAGAGAGGGAGAUAGCUCCACCUCUCUGUGCCAUUUCCCCCCACGGAAUGGUGUACCCCAAGGGCCAGGUGGAUCACUGCAUGCACAGGGGGGUAUCUGUCUGUUGAGGAAGUGUCAAACAAAUGAUCCAUCAAUUUUAUGGACCCUGGGUUGGGGGCGUGUUCUGAGUGGAGAGAACUGAGGAACUGUAGGGAAACGUGUCCUCGAGGUCCCCCCGUCAGGAGGCCUAGGCAGAGGAGGCCGAAGCAGGCCUAAGGCUGGCUAGUGAUGCAAGUGUGCAAAGAGCAUGGCUGGCAUCCACAGAGCCAACCACACCUGCCUCAGGAGAUGCAACACAUCGGCCAGCCUGACAUGGGGAGGGCAGGUUCCUGAGGAGGCGUGCCAGGCAAACCUGUGUCAUUGCCUAUGGUCCAGUUUGAAAAAUCACAGUAGAUUUUUAACCAGGAGCCAAACUCCUCAAAUCUAAGUUAACUCAUCUAUAAAACUCCUUUUAAGAUUUUUUUUUUUAUUUCGGCAUAUUAUGGGGGU